AGUCGCUACAUAAGAAAGGAGACAAGUUGAUGAGUAUGAAAUGAGGAAGAGUUUGCAUCAGCAGAAUGUUUCGGAGAGCCGUGUCCUUCGUUGGCUCCGGCACAGACCACAGACUCCUCAGCUGGAGCACAGCGGGGCAGACAUGGCACAGCACCACACCAGCCAUACUCAACUUCGUUCCAUACGCCACCGCGAAGAAACGACCAGAUCCAAAUGAAAGCAAACCGACUGAUCAGUAUUAAAGGCCUGUGGGACUUUUUUGUGAGAGUGAAGUAUAGACUGCCAGCUACUGAAGCAGGAAGUAAAGGAGAUGGAGGGAGCUAGAGAGAGAGGGAGAGGGAUUUCAGCAGCCCUGAUAUAGCAGAGCCACGUCAGCAGGAAACAAAACUGCUGCCAGGUCACACUCAAGCUGUCUGGAGCAGACUGCCUACAGAGAGAGAGAGAGAGAGAGAGAGAGAGAGAGAGAUGAGUGAGCAAAGGAAUAUUACUGUAGAAGGAGGACUAGACUCCCAGUGACACGGUGAGAAUGCAGAAAGGCGCGAGGAGAGAUUAAAAACAGAAGACGGGACGCAAGCGUCUGGCCGAGGGGAAGCCGAGGAGAGGAGAGAGAGCUGAGGAAAAGGUGGGGCGGAAUUACUGACAGACUCUAGGAGUUCAGUUCAGUCUGAGAUUUGAGAACAGCCAACCCAGUUUCACUAAAGCCCCCUUUAUUUCAAAGGAAUAUUAGCAAUCAUUCUUGGAAGAGCUGCAUCUGGCCUCCUAAACCUUUCAGACAGAUGUAAGCUCAAAUGAGGAGAAAAGAUGCCUCUCCUCAGCCAUUUGAGGUCCAAAAUCAUGUUCAAAAUCUGACUAAUCCUGACUAAGCCUCCCUUGGAAACCUGGACUACACUUCAGUAUGUCAGAGAGAGCACUACUUCAACAUCAAAUUCAAUGAGGAUGACUCUCAAAGAGAUCUCCUGCAAUCCUUGACCUUCCUAAAGGAUCUACAAGUUCAGGUCACAAGCCCAAGGCAGCACUUCCAGGUUCUUCCUUCUUGCACUCUGAUCCACAUCACACCAAACUACCCUGGUGCCACACCAAGUCACUGGAGCUCACAUUCUUUUCUGAUGAAAUCUAGUAGUUUCCAUGUAGAGUUUGGUUUUGGACUCCUGUGCUCUAAUAUUUGGUUAUAAUACUGGAAUGAUCUGCAAGGAACAUUUUUAAGUUACAUUGUGCUGAAACUGCAAAGAUCUAAAGAGGCUCUGGUAUGCAGACCUGAUGUGCUCACACUCUUUCCCUUCUCGCUCACUCGCUCAGCUCUGAGAGGGUGUGGCUGAGGAAUGGGCAGCAGAGCUUUAAUCUUCUGCCAAAGCCUGUAAGGCACAUCUGGAAUAAGCCGGGCAAAUCGUCUCGGGCCGUGCCUCUCUGGCCACGGUCACCGGGCCUUGUCCAAAUGAACCCUCUCACCCCACACUGCUCUCCUCGCUUGAGCUUGGGCCAGCAGACAGGAGGAAUUCUCUCAAUUCGCCUACCCUGUGUCUUUCUCAGGGAAUCUACUCUUCUCCGUGAGCCACCAAAUGUUCCACAGACCUUUUUUGUUGGAAACUAAAGUUUCCAAUCAAAUAUAAGUGUUUGUCAGUGUUUUUUAUGGAUCUUUAAACAAUAUGCUCUCAGAUCUGAUUUUCUUAAAUCUGUUAGAUAACAAACCUGACCUUAUGCAUCUUCUAGGCCAGGAGACAUUACUCCCUCUCUCUUAAUUUCUAGAACUAAAUUAUGGGAAACACCUCAUAAAAAUGUCCAAUUAUUGUAUUAGGCAUCAUGAAAUAAAAAAGAACAAUAUGUUUACUACAAGUGCGCGUUAUGCAGUGUGAACAGUGGGCACCGACUGGCAGAAACAUAAAUCUGCACCUAUGGCAUGGAGGACGAAACAAAACCUUGUCAGAGCCACAAUGCGGUGCAGAAGUGUGCAGUGUGUGUGCUUGCCGCGCAUCUACAUUUGAAAUAACGAACCUGAGCGCACAAGAGACGCGAUGUGAACGGCUAUUUCUUCAUGUGGGGCUCUGUUUUUAUGAUGAGAGGAGUAGAAAGGUUGAGAAAGCACUCCAGGUAAAUUUUGAAAUGUACCAGGUUUAUAUUAUAUCUAUCUAUAUAGUUGCUGUUUUUUUCUGUUUGAUAAGCAGUUAAAUGUGUUUGUUUACACACAGUGUAAGCUUUUAAUAAGACCAAGAAUAAAAUGAUUAAUUUGGCCUACUCAACAUGUUAAAAUUGAUUUACAGAACUUUUUUUGCUGUUUUUUAACAGUUUGGACUUGAAUAAAGAAAGAAAACUUGCACUUAACCUUUUCACAGGCAUUUUGUUUAGACAGAUAUCGUGAUGUAUCAUUAUAGGAUUUUCUAGAAAUAUAUAGAUUAUUGCAAAAUCGCUGUAUCGUGAUAUUAUCGUUAUCGUGAGCCAUGUAUCGUGAUUAUAUCGUAUCGUGAGGUAC